AGGUCAUGUCAAGAGGACAUCUCCUAAUCAGUUGCUUGUAUCUCUCCCAAGCUUCAUAGAGGGAUUUACCCUUUUUCUGUCUGAAGGUUUGAACCUCCACCCUAAACUU